GAUGAACGCUGGCGGCGUGCCUAAUACAUGCAAGUCGAGCGAACGGACGAGAAGCUUGCUUCUCUGAUGUUAGCGGCGGACGGGUGAGUAACACGUGGAUAACCUACCUAUAAGACUGGGAUAACUUCGGGAAACCGGAGCUAAUACCGGAUAAUAUUUUGAACCGCAUGGUUCAAAAGUAAAAGACGGUCUUGCAGUCACUUAUAGAUGGAUCCGCGCUGCAUUAGCUAGUUGGUAAGGUAACGGCUUACCAAGGCAACGAUGCAUAGCCGACCUGAGAGGGUGAUCGGCCACACUGGAACUGAGACACGGUCCAGACUCCUACGGGAGGCAGCAGUAGGGAAUCUUCCGCAAUGGGCGAAAGCCUGACGGAGCAACGCCGCGUGAGUGAUGAAGGUCUUCGGAUCGUAAAACUCUGUUAUUAGGGAAGAACAUAUGUGUAAGUAACUAUGCACAUCUUGACGGUACCUAAUCAGAAAGCCACGGCUAACUACGUG
rnacentral:rRNA from 1 species